UAGAGUUUGAUCCCUGGCUCAGGACGAACGCUGGCGGCGUGCCUAAUACAUGCAAGUCGAGCGGACUUGUAGGAGCUUGCUCCUGCAGGUUAGCGGCGGACGGGUGAGUAACACGUGGGCAACCUACCUAUAAGACUGGGAUAACUUCGGGAAACCGGAGCUAAUACCGGAUGACAUAAAGGAACUCCUGUUCCUUUAUUGAAAGAUGGCUUCGGCUAUCACUUACAGAUGGGCCCGCGGCGCAUUAGCUAGUUGGUGAGGUAACGGCUCACCAAGGCGACGAUGCGUAGCCGACCUGAGAGGGUGAUCGGCCACACUGGGACUGAGACACGGCCCAGACUCCUACGGGAGGCAGCAGUAGGGAAUCUUCCGCAAUGGACGAAAGUCUGACGGAGCAACGCCGCGUGAACGAUGAAGGCCUUCGGGUCGUAAAGUUCUGUUGUUAGGGAAGAACAAGUGCUAGUUAAAUAAGCUGCACCUGGACGGACCACCA
rnacentral:rRNA from 1 species